rnacentral:rRNA from 1 species
CCUACGGGAGGCAGCAGUGGGGAAUUUUCCGCAAUGGGCGAAAGCCUGACGGAGCAAUACCGCGUGAGGGAGGACGGCUUUUGGGUUGUAAACCUCUUUUAUCAGGGAAGAAUCGAUGACGGUACCUGAUGAAUCAGCAUCGGCUAACUCCGUG